AUGCGUAUCUGGAACGACACUUUCGGCACGUGCAUGAAACCCUCAUUUCACAGAGCACGGUUCAAAUGAAUAUUCAAGCCAUGAACUUUUCUUUCAAAUGCAAUCAUAAAUGUUCGCGUUAUAUAUCAUUUCAUGGUGGUGUUCCGACUAUGCUCACUGCUUAACGAAUAGAAGUGUUAUAUGCCAAUUGAGAGAGCUAGCACUGAUCUUGUUAUUGACGUUGUACAAUGUUAUGUUUUUGAAAACCAGUCGAGUUAAUUAAUUAAUACCAUUUCGAUGAGGUCAAAGCGCCGGGGAUCUAAACUUUAUUGUCUUUAAAGCUGUAGCACUGUUCCCAACUUGAACAUCAUCUUCUGUGUACAUACCUGAGGCAGAGCCAGCUUGCCCAUCUGACAUCUGCUGUUGACAACCGAGUCAGAGCCAGCUUGCACGUCAUCUGUUGUGGACAUCGGUGUUAGAGCCAGCUUGCACGUCCUCUAUUGUGGACAUCGAUGUUAGUGCUAGCUUGCACGUCAUCUGUUGUGAACAUCCGUGUAAGAGCCAGCUUGCACGUCAUCUCUUUUUGACAUCAGUAUUAGAGCCAGCUUGUACAUCCUCUGUUGUGGACAUCCGUGUAAGUGCUAGCUUGCACGUAAUCUGUUGUGGACAUCUGUGUUAGAGCCAGCUUGCACGUCAUAUGUUUAGGACAUCAGUCAGAGAUAGCUUGCAUGUUAUUUACUUGUGGACAUUAGUCAGAGCCAGCAAGGACAUUCUCUGUUGUGGAUAUCUGUCUUAGAGCUUGCACGUCAUCGGUUGUUCACAUCCUUUUAAUAACCAGCUUGCACAUCAACUGAUGUGGAAAUCUGAGUCAGAGCCAGCUUGCACAUCAUCCGUUGUGGACAUCUCUUUAUGAUUCUACUCUUUGCUUAGAUUGACACUGUGACUUUAGUGUAAUACGUUACAACCUUAAGCUAUUCCUAUUGUUGAAUAAAAAUAUUGUGUCAUUAAAAUAUAUUUUGUUGGAUAAUUUGUAUGUUGAGUUGUAUUGUUUGGUCAUUGCAAAGUAUCAAGUUAUUUUAAGACAAGAAAAAGCUCAUCUUUCAUCAUGUAUUUAUAUUAAAAUUCUUGAAUGUUAGUGAAGGUACAGUUCAUAUAAUUAAAAGCAAUUGUAAUAUGAUUGCUUGUGUUUUAUUGCACAGUGAAUACCAUCUUGUCUUUAUGCUGACAUAUAGAACGGAGAAAUAGUAAACUGUCGUUUUUAUAUGCAAUGGGAGUGUAUAUCAAGACUUGUGUGUUCAGAUGAAAAAAUUGCCAUAAUUUUUCUCUUUAUAUUUUAUUCCUGCUAAAUGGUUGAUGCAAUAAAGUUAAGUCUUUAA